rnacentral:rRNA from 1 species
GAUGAACGCUGGCGGCGUGCUUAACACAUGCAAGUCGAACGAAGCACUUUAACCUGAUUCUUCGGAUGAAGGUUUUUGUGACUGAGUGGCGGACGGGUGAGUAACGCGUGGGUAACCUGCCUCAUACAGGGGGAUAACAGUUAGAAAUGACUGCUAAUACCGCAUAAGACCACAGAGCCGCAUGGCUCGGUGGGAAAAACUCCGGUGGUAUGAGAUGGACCCGCGUCUGAUUAGGUAGUUGGUGGGGUAACGGCCUACCAAGCCAACGAUCAGUAGCCGACCAGGGAGGCGGGCCGCCCACUGGGGGAGUGGGCAACGGCACAAACUCCGCCGGGAGGGGGGAGGGGGAAAAAGUGCAAAGUGGGGGAAACCAUGAUGCAGCGCGGCGGUGAGAACAAAGAAGUUGUGGAAUAUGAAAAGCUUAAGCAACAGGGAACAAAAUGACGGUACCUAAUAAGAAAGCCAGGGCAAACUACGUG